GGGGCGGAGCCAGGAGCAUCAGCGGGGUCACCCCCUGUGUGUAUAAAUCCUGCUACCAGGGAGUGCAGCGACACAGAAGGAGCACCAGCAGGAUGGGCAACCAGGCUAAGUGACCAGACUGCUACCACGCAGACAGCAAGCAGCAAAGCUGGGAGCCAGCCAAGACUUCUCCAGCCUGAAGCCUGGGCUUUGUUUGCAGAGUGGCUCCAGCUCCCCACUACACCUCUCACAUGGCCAUGAGUGAGCUAGCACCGCAACCCAGGCACCAUUACGCACCUUCUGAGGUAUAAACUGUCUGCCUUCUGGACAGGCCUACUCAUUUACCGUGACUUCAACUGUUAGCUAACACUUGUCAUGUCUUUAAAAAGCAGCAUUUGGUUAGCGUAAAUACCAUUUAUGCCUCUUCCUUCAUCCUCUCAUUCCUUCUUGUAUGAUUGCCCUAUGGAAAAUGAAGCAACAAAAGCUG
rnacentral:lncRNA from 1 species